CUUGGUCAUUUAGAGGAAGUAAAAGUCGUAACAAGGUUUCCGUAGGUGAACCUGCGGAAGGAUCAUUACCGAGUUAGGGUCUUCUGGGCCUGACCUCCAACCCUUUGUUUAUUCUACCCUGUUGCUUUGGCAGGUCGCCUUCUAGGCGUCGGCUCCGGCUGACUGCGCCUGCCAGAGGACCCAAACUCGUUUUGUUUAGUGUCGUCUGAGUACUAUAUAAUAGUUAAAACUUUCAACAACGGAUCUCUUGGUUCUGGCAUCGAUGAAGAACGCAGCGAAAUGCGAUAAGUAAUGUGAAUUGCAGAAUUCAGUGAAUCAUCGAAUCUUUGAACGCACAUUGCGCCCCUUGGUAUUCCGAGGGGCAUGCCUGUUCGAGCGUCAUUAUGACCACUCAAGCCUAGCUUGGUAUUGGGGUUCGCGGUCUCGCGGCCCUUAAAAUCAGUGGCGGUGCCAUCUGGCUCUAAGCGUAGUAAUUUAUCUCGCUAUUGGGUCCGGUGGUUGCUUGCCAACAACCCCCAACUUCCAAGGUUGACCUCGGAUCAGGUAGGGAUACCCGCUGAACUUAAGCAUAUCAAUAAGCGGAGGA
rnacentral:rRNA from 1 species